UACGUAGGGUGCGAGCGUUAAUCGGAAUUACUGGGCGUAAAGCGUGCGCAGGCGGUUCGUUGUGUCGGUGGUGAAAGCCCCGGGCUUAACCUGGGAAUGGUCAUGGAAACUGGCGAACUGGAGUGUGGCAGAGGGGGGUGGAAUUCCGCGUGUAGCAGUGAAAUGCGCAGAGAUGUGGAGGAACACCGAUGGCGAAGGCAGCCCCCUGGGCUAACACUGACGCUCAUGCACGAAAGCGUGGGGAGCAAACAGG
rnacentral:rRNA from 1 species